AACGAACGCUGGCGGCAUGCCUAACACAUGCAAGUCGAACGAGAGCUUCGGGUCUAGUGGCGCACGGGUUCGUAACGCGUGGGAACAUUCCCUUAUGUUUGGAAUAACUCUCCGAAAGGGGUGCUAAUAGGGGAUAAUGUCUUCUACCCAAAGAUUUUUCGCCCUUGGAUGGUCCCGCGUGGAAUUAGCUAGUUGUUAGGGUAAUAGAAUACUAAGGCGACGAUCCACAGAUGGUUUGAGAGGAUGAUCAGCCACACUGGGACUGAGCCGCGGCCCAGACUCUUACGGGAGGCAGCAGUGGGGAAUGUUGCACCAUGGGCUGAGUCAUGAUCGAGCUCGGCCGGUAGAGUGAUGAAGGUAUUAGAGUUGAAAAGCUCUUUUAACCGGGAUGAUAAUGACAGUACCGAGAGAAUAAGCUCCGGCUAACUCCGUG
rnacentral:rRNA from 1 species